rnacentral:tRNA from 8 species
CGGGCUGUGGCGCAGCUUGGUUAGCGCGUCGGUCUGGGGGACCGAAGGUCGUGGGUUCGAAUCCCGCCAGCCCGACCA